AGAUGAAGAAGAAGAUGAUGAUGGUGGUGAUGAUGAUGGUGAUGGUGACCGCGAUGAUGGUGAUGGUGAUGCCGGUGGUGGCUGCAUCAUCAUCAUCAUCAUCAUCAUCAUCAUCAUCAUGU
rnacentral:pre_miRNA from 1 species